CUCUACAAGGGUUUGGGGUUU
rnacentral:piRNA from 1 species